CUCAGCUCCCCUAAUGAAAGCCUCUGUUACCUCGUGGGGUGCAGCCCGCUGGGGAACGUCACCCCGCGGAGACCGCUGUUCGCACGUGUGUGCGCCGGGCUGCCGACGACAGAAGGCACAGGCUCCUGCCGCGGUGUGCGUGCGGACACUCACUACAGCGGCCUCCAGCUGCCUUUGUGCUCAGCUCCGGGGGCUAAUUUUCAGUCUGUUCCGGCCUCGCCUGUAAGCCCUGCGUGGAGCCCGGGCACGGAGCAGCUCCCGGCCAGCCCGCUCAGAGCCGGGCAGGUGCCCGCCGGCGCCACUCGCUGCAGUCUGGGCCAGCAUGGGCGAUGGCUGCAGGGCACAAAGAGUGUGUCUGUCCCGCUGCCCUCCUGGCACUCACGGGCGGGUCUGUGGGCACUUGCGGUCAGCAGCUCCCCUGCCGGAUGAAUGAGUUACUCCAUGAGAGAGAAAUUCUAACAGGGCUUGAAAACACCUGGUUUGAUGGAACUUGGUGUCGUCCCACGGCAUCUGUCUGAUUCCUUAGAGCAGACUUAAUUGCUUGUGUAUUCGCUUCCAGUCAGGACAUUCGACAAGUAGCAUUUUAUCUUUAAUCAGCGUUAAGAGACCCACAAAAUAUCCAAACAGCCCUGAAAAAUCACUUGUCAUAAUGUUUAUAUUUAUAGCCACGGAGCAAGUAAAGUUUGAAUUAAGUGUUCAAAUGUGA